AAAGUACUCCCUCCGUCCCAAAAUUCUUGUCUUAGAUUUGUCUAGAUACGGAUGUAUCUAGUCACAUUUUAGUAUUAGAUACAUCCGUAUCUAGACAAAUCUAAGACAAGAAAUUUGGGACAGAGGGAGUAGUUG
rnacentral:pre_miRNA from 1 species